rnacentral:lncRNA from 1 species
GCAUAUGCAGCAUCUGCCCGGGCCUGAAGCUGAGCUGGGUGUGCAGCUGCAGCCACGGGCACUGACAGCAUGGAGGUGGCCCUGGCUGUUGGCUACUGAGCGUGGAUGGUCAUCAGAAACGAGAGGAGUGGCCAAAGGAAACAGGAUGCGAUCAUCAUGGCACCUGAACUACUGAUUCUUUUGGGGGCGGCGGGAAUACUGCAAGCAGACUUACUUCCUGAUAAAAAAUUUUUACUUCUACCACCAGUCAAUUUCACCAUUAAAGCUGUCAAUUUAGCUCAAGUUCUUUUACGUUGGGAACCAAAUCCUGAUCAAGAACAAAGCAAUGUCCAGCUAGGAUAUCAUGUGAAAAUAAAUGCUCCACAAGAAGAGGAGUAUGAAACCAGGAACACUGAGAGAAGCCUCGUAACCAUCCUUCACAAAGGCUUUUCAGCAAGUGUGCAGACAGUGCCGUGGAGCGACCACUCCCUACAAGCCAGCAGCUGGGUUUCUGCAGAACUUAAGGCCCCACCAGGGUCUCCUGGAACUGAGAUUGUGAAUUUAACUUGCACCACAAACACGAAGGCAGAUAAUUACACACACUUCCAACCAUACCAAGUUUCUCUUCACUGCACCUGGCUUGUUGGCAAGGAUGCCCCUGAUGAUACACAGUAUUUCCUCUACUAUAGGUAUCGCUCUCGGAUUGAAGAAUGUCAGGAAUACAGCAAAGAUGUCCUGCAGAGAAAUGUUGCCUGUUGGUUUCCCAGGACUUUCAUCAACAGCAAGGGGCGAGACUCCCUUGCAGUGUAUGUUAACGGCUCGAGCAAGGAAGCUGCGAUCAAGCCUUUCGAUCAGCUCUUUGCCCUUCAUGCUAUUGGGAAGGAUGAUCAGAAGCCCUGGACAGAGUGGUUCCUUAUUGCAGUUAUGAUGACCAUCUGCUUCAUCUUGUUAAUUUUCUCACUCAUCUGCAGAAUAUGCCACUUAUGGACCAAGUUGUUUCCACCUGUUCCAGUGCCAAAAAGUAAUAUUAACGAUUUCUUUGUAAUCAUCAACAAUGAGAAAACUGGUUCCAGUGAAACUGAAGUCAUAAGUUAUGUGGAGGAGGCUGGAUUUGAGACCCUGGAAGACUCUGUGUUUUGA